GGCAGAAGGACCGAAGUACACUGCUGAGGGGAGCAGCGGCGGCAAGAGAGACUCAAUCAAAUGUCUCUCUUCUCACCAUGGAUCAAAGCUAUUUUUGUCAUCUUGUUCUUUACUCUCUAUUCUGAAACAGCUCUUUUUAGGCCAUCAAAUUACAGAGCUUUGCCAAUCUGCAGAGAAGACAGUUAUCCAUAUAUGUGCUCAAAAAAAUGUUUUCCCUUGUGUGCCACCAAUGGCCUUACUUACUGCAAUAGAUGUAUUUUCUGCAUUGCAAUCAGAUCAAAUUGUCCCAAAACUCCUGCUGAGAAGAAAUCUACUCGGACAUCUUCGUGAUGGGGGCCCAGAUUACCUCAGAGUCUUAUCUGUGGGACCAUCCAGCUCACCUCAUAUAGCUCUUUACCAACAGGCCAUUCAUGGAGACUCCUCAGACUUCAGUCAGGUGGAGGUUCAAGAAGAAAGGGCAAACACAAUAGGCAGUGUCUGCAAAGCUCUAGCCCCCACUCUCCACUGCCCUCUGGGUCAGAACGUGGUAAGAUGUCCCUCGCGUCUUCAUGGAUCAAAAUGACUUUUGUCCUUGCCUUGGUAUCUCCUCUUCAAUCUGGCCUGAAUUGUCGUUCACCUCACUCGAUCAUAGACUGCAAAGCGUUUAAAAAUGAUUAUUCAAUUUGCAACAUAUUGCCUGACCCAGUCUGCGCGACUGAUCGCAAAACUUACUCGAAUAUAUGCGUUUUCUGCAGUGAAAAGUUACUAAACAAAGGAAUAUUUGAAUUUCGUCAUUAUGGUUCAUGUGUCAGUGCCUGAUCUAGGCAUUCCUAUGAUUUAUUACUAUCCUAUUGUGCAGUAGAAUCUACAAUCAAAAUCUUCUCAGCCUGGUCUUUAAAUUCCUAGAUGAUCAGGCAACCCUUUCUAAGAUACACACGAUGUGCCACAAGAUGACAAAGAAUAUUUCCAACUCUAACAAUCUGUGAUUAAAAGAUUUUUAUUCUCUAUGUUCAAUUAUUCAAUGACCCUAUCUUAAUGGUGUGUUUUAAUAAAAGCUAAUUUACAAGCAUAAAUUUG